UACGUAGGGGGCCAGCGUUGUCCGGAAUCAUUGGGCGUAAAGAGCGCGUAGGCGGCCAGAUAAGUCUGGUGUGAAAGUCAAAGGCUCAACCUUUGAAUGCCGCUGGAAACUGUCUGGCUAGAGUCCGGGAGGGGCGAGUGGAAUUCCCGGUGUAGCGGUGAAAUGCGCAGAUAUCGGGAAGAACACCCGUGGCGAAGGCGGCUCUCUGGGACGGUACUGACGCUGAGACGCGAAAGCGUGGGGAGCGAACAGG
rnacentral:rRNA from 1 species